rnacentral:rRNA from 1 species
AGAAGGCACGCUGACAUGUAGGUGAAGUGAUUUACUCAUGGAGCUGAAGUCAGUCGAAGAUACCAGCUGGCUGCAACUGUUUAUUAAAAACACAGCACUGUGCAAACACGAAAGUGGACGUAUACGGUGUGACGCCUGCCCGGUGCCGGAAGGUUAAUUGAUGGGGUCAGCGCAAGCGAAGCUCCUGAUCGAAGCCCCGGUAAACGGCGGCCGUAACUAUAACGGUCCUAAGGUAGCGAAAUUCCUUGUCGGGUAAGUUCCGACCUGCACGAAUGGCGUAAUGAUGGCCAGGCUGUCUCCACCCGAGACUCAGUGAAAUUGAACUCGCUGUGAAGAUGCAGUGUACCCGCGGCAAGACGGAAAGACCCCGUGAACCUUUACUAUAGCUUGACACUGAACAUUGAGCCUUGAUGUGUAGGAUAGGUGGGAGGCUUUGAAGUGUGGACGCCAGUCUGCAUGGAGCCGACCUUGAAAUACCACCCUUUAAUGUUUGAUGUUCUAACGUGGACCCGUAAUCCGGGUUGCGGACAGUGUCUGGUGGGUAGUUUGACUGGGGCGGUCUCCUCCUAAAGAGUAACGGAGGAGCACGAAGGUUGGCUAAUCCUGGUCGGACAUCAGGAGGUUAGUGCAAUGGCAUAAGCCAGCUUGACUGCGAGCGUGACGGCGCGAGCAGGUGCGAAAGCAGGUCAUAGUGAUCCGGUGGUUCUGAAUGGAAGGGCCAUCGCUCAACGGAUAAAAGGUACUCCGGGGAUAACAGGCUGAUACCGCCCAAGAGUUCAUAUCGACGGCGGUGUUUGGCACCUCGAUGUCGGCUCAUCACAUCCUGGGGCUGAAGUAGGUCCCAAGGGUAUGGCUGUUCGCCAUUUAAAGUGGUACGCGAGCUGGGUUUAGAACGUCGUGAGACAGUUCGGUCCCUAUCUGCCGUGGGCGCUGGAGAACUGAGGGGGGCUGCUCCUAGUACGAGAGGACCGGAGUGGACGCAUCACUGGUGUUCGGGUUGUCAUGCCAAUGGCACUGCCCGGUAGCUAAAUGCGGAAGAGAUAAGUGCUGAAAGCAUCUAAGCACGAAACUUGCCCCGAGAUGAGUUCUCCCUGAGACUUAGAGUCUCCUGAAGGAACGUUGAAGACGACGACGUUGAUAGGCCGGGUGUGUAAGCGCAGCGAUGCGUUGAGCUAACCGGUACUAAUGAACCGUGAGGCUUAACCUUACAA